rnacentral:lncRNA from 1 species
AAAUUUCAACAUUUGAAGUGUACAUUAUCUUUGAAUGAGCAGGAUACAGUGUUUUAUCUUUAAUGUUAUUUAAAACUGGUGAUGCUCAACCACAACUUUCCACUGCGCUGAUGCUAAUCACUGAGCACUUCCGUGCUUGUUCUUUUAAGAGAGGGCUUGAUGACUAACUUGAUUAUACUAUUUAAGAUCAUUAAAAAGAGGAAUUAGGAAGCUAAUGAAAUAAUGUCUGAUUUCAACAUGUGGAAUAUACAAUCUGUAUUCUUUAUCACACUCUGCAUGUUUCUUUUCAAUGUGGCAGAUAACAAACUUGUAAAUGGGAAUUCAACCACUGGAGACAUAACAUGUAAUGUUCUUCAUCCAUUGGUGUACGCUAUCAUCUGCUUCCUCGCUGCUGUCAUUCUCAUUCUCCUAAUAAUUCUGUAUAAAAUCAUCUCCAUGCAAAAUCGCGUCAAAAAAGACAAUAUCCACAUGGCCAGCGACACAGGAGAAUCGACAUCUUUACAUAAUGCUUUGUGUACAAGUCUUGCUCCAACCUCAUGCGACGACGGAGCAGAUAAUUCAUCCUCUACUAGUUCAGGGACUCCUGAAGGCUCGGUAAGUCAUCCGAAAACCAUUAACUUUCUCCCUCACACACCUGAAAGGCAUUUGUUACUUCUUCCAGAUGCGUUACGGGCCAUUUCAAAGGUGUCGCAAUUCUUUACUCGAGGUAUUUGUUUCAUAUGGGAUUUUGUUUUUGUUUGUCAGAUUUCCAGUAGAUCUCAGCGGUACGUGAGUAUUCCAGAGUGCUCGAAAACAUCCGACUACAUCAAUGUUUCAGAAGGGGUUUCCUCUGGACGAGUGGACUUUAAGAAUAAAACAACACGCAUAGACUAUGUGAACAAUAAAGAGUCCCAAAGGAAGAAGGUCAGUGGAAAAGGUCAAGCGAGAUGUGCUGACGCUACAAGCGUUAGCAGCGACGCGAGUGACGAGUCUGCUGUCAAUUACUCCAAGGUUGUUUUUACCAAAGCGAAGAAGUAACAUGUCAUUGGUAGCUUUUGUAAAAAUGGAUCAUUUAGCUUGAAAUGAAAAUUCUGUCAUCAUUUAUUCACAUGUAUGUUAUUAUAAAAGCUGUAUGGCUUGCUUUUCUUUGUGGAGUUUUUGGGGGUUUUGCUAUAAAUUAAAUGGUCACUGCAGUGUUCAUUUAGUAUCACUGAGUAACGUUUGUAGCUCUUUAAUAUUUAGAUUUUGUUUCUAUUUUUAACUUUUGAAGUUUGGUUGUAAUUCGUUAUAUAGUUUUUAAAAAGUAUUUAUGUUUUAUUUAUACUCUAGUUUGACAUACAUACACACUGGGUAUUCAUCUUUUGUAGGGACUUCCCAUAGACGUAAUGAUUUUUAAACUGUGUAUUCUGUACUUCGUAUUCCCCAAGCCUAACCCUAAACACAAACUUCACAGAAAAUAUUCUGCAGUUUUACAUUUUCAAAAUACUACAUUAUAUCAAGAUUUAUGAGUUGUUUCCCUCAUGGGAAAAAUAUUAAAUAAAUAAACAGUCACCUAAGUUCAAAAAUGCUAUUGCUACUUGGUGCCCACAUGAUAAAUACCAGGAUCACACACAGUUGUUCAUCUGUCAUAUAAACUAAAGAAAAUGAAUGUUUUUUUUUUUUUUAGAAAAGGGCUGAAAAAAAUGUGUUUAAUUAAAAUAAUAACAAUUAUUGUACUUUUAUUGUCUUAUUAAUCAUUAACAGCUCUCUCUUACAGAGACAUAGGCCUGUAUUUUUAAUAUAGCUAUCAUUUUCAUAUAAUAUUCACUCUGAAAAAAGUACUGAGCUCUCAACUACUCAAGAUGUAUUAUGCAUAUGCACAAUAAUCAUUUAAGGAAAGGAAUUGCAUUUGGUUAUGCUUACACUUUAAAACCCAACAGUCAACUUUAUCAAAUAAAAUGACAGGAGUUAACUUAAAAUAUACUGAAAGUAAUUUUCUACUCAUUUGAAAAGAGUUUUGAACUCAGUGUUGAAAGUAAUGAGUUAAUUAAAUACCUCAUUAACUCAACUUAAAUUGAGUAAGUUCACAGGACUCAUAUGGAUUAGUUUUUUUUAACUCAAACGGUUUGUGCAAUC